ACGGAGGGUGCAAGCGUUAAUCGGAAUUACUGGGCGUAAAGCGCAUGCAGGCGGUUUGUUAAGCGAGAUGUGAAAGCCCCGGGCUCAACCUGGGAACUGCAUUUCGAACUGGCAAACUAGAGUUCUUGAGAGGGUGGUAGAAUUUCAGGUGUAGCGGUGAAAUGCGUAGAGAUCUGAAGGAAUACCAGUGGCGAAGGCGGCCACCUGGCAAGUAACUGACGCUCAGAUGCGAAAGCGUGGGUAGCAAACGGG
rnacentral:rRNA from 1 species